AUUGAACGCUGGCGGCAUGCCUUACACAUGCAAGUCGAACGGCAGCACGGGAGCUUGCUCCUGGUGGCGAGUGGCGAACGGGUGAGUAAUACAUCGGAACGUACCCAGUAGUGGGGGAUAACGCACCGAAAGGUGCGCUAAUACCGCAUACGACCUACGGGUGAAAGCGGGGGACCGUAAGGCCUCGCGCUAUUGGAGCGGCCGAUGUCUGAUUAGCUAGUUGGUGAGGUAAAGGCUCACCAAGGCUUCGAUCAGUAGCUGGUCUGAGAGGACGAUCAGCCACACUGGGACUGAGACACGGCCCAGACUCCUACGGGAGGCAGCAGUGGGGAAUUUUGGACAAUGGGCGAAAGCCUGAUCCAGCAAUGCCGCGUGUGCGAAGAAGGCCUUCGGGUUGUAAAGCACUUUUGUCAGGGAAGAAAUCUUUUAGGCUAAUACCUUGGAAGGAUGACGGUACCUGAAGAAUAAGCACCGGCUAACUACGUGCCAGCCGCCGCGGUAA
rnacentral:rRNA from 1 species